UUUCCGGAGACUGCAGGCUGGUGGGUUCGUUCUUGCCCGGUUCCCAGCUUUGAACACAAGGUGAGGAAACACUGCAGGUUUCUUAGGAUACGGUUGGGUGAAGACUGGCCCUUCCCAGAGCCGCGGGAGACACGGGAAGACCCAGCCUGGCCAGCGGUGGUGGCUCCAGAAUCUCCAGAAGGCCCGGGUAGCUGGAGCAGAAAUGCUUCCAAAAAAGUGAAUCCGAGAAGUUUGGAGUGUGAUCUGCACAUGGAGCGAUGGCGUGAGAUAACACCCCGCUCAUUGCCUGCGCUGCGCAGCCUCCCUUUGCCCACCCUUGGCCCUCCACUGUGCUCAUUCCCUGGUAAGUGUCAUUUUGAUGAUCAACGCAAG